GGAAGAGUGAUAGAGCUGGCAGCAGGACUUGCUCUGUAUAUGAUGCUGAUUUGGAUUAAAUAACAGCAACUAUUUCAGGCAGAAUCUAAAAGAUAUGGAACUAUGACAUGGCAAAACCAGCAUCAUGGUCAAAAUAACAAAAAUGAGGCUAUUGGAGAGAAGGAGGCGGCUCACCUCAAGGGUCUCAAAUAAACAGGGGGUCUGUGCUGGCUUUCAUCUUUGGAAGAUUCUGUGUACAUAUUAUGAGGAAAGACAAUUGGUAGACAAUCAAAUCUGGCCUAAAGGGGAGUUCUCAUUGAAAUCACUCUGGUUUGGCUUCCUGAAAUAGGUUUGUUUUGAGGGGGGGUUUUAACGAGAGGAGGG